ACGGAAGGCAGCAGUGGGGGAUAUUGCACAAUGGGGGAAACCCUGAUGCAGCGACGCCGCGUGAGUGAUGAAGUAUUUCGGUAUGUAAAGCUCUAUCAGCAGGGAAGAAAAUGACGGUACCUGACUAAGAAGCACCGGCUAAAUACGUGCCAGCAGCCGCGGUAAUACGUAUGGUGCAAGCGUUGUCCGGAAUUACUGGGUGUAAAGGGAGCGCAGGCGGGACAGCAAGUUGGAUGUGAAAUACCGAGGCUUAACCACGGAGCUGCAUCCAAAACCGUUGUUCUUGAGUGAAGUAGAGGUAGGCGGAAUUCCGAGUGUAGCGGUGAAAUGCGUAGAUAUUCGGAGGAACACCAGUGGCGAAGGCGGCCUACUGGGCUUUAACUGACGCUGAGGCUCGAAAGUGUGGGGAGCAAACAGGAUUAGAUACCCUGGUA
rnacentral:rRNA from 1 species